rnacentral:lncRNA from 1 species
CUGCGUUUAUGGGGUCCCCGCCCAUGGAAGCUUUCCCCCCGUCAGCGGGUUUCCACUGUACCGGGAGUCCUAGACGAUCCCCUGGUCGUGCGGCCCCUCCCCCGCUCCUUCCCAGACCCGCGUGGCGAUCCCGGUUUCUAGGGGAUGGAGCGAUGUUCUCUCUUACCCCGUUCCAGCUCCUCCGAGGUGGGCAGUAGGGGCUCCGUCUUCUGUCUUUUGAUACUGUAGGUCUCUGAGUCCUGGCAUUAGGUUCAUUAGCUGAAAUUCAGAUGAAGAUAUGGAGGCUCAAAGAGUUUCAGUCACUUAACCUAACGUCACCCAGUUGGUAAGCAGCAGAAUGGACACUUUGUCUGUUUGGCGCCAAAGCCCAUGAUCCUGCAUUCCACGUGGGCCCUGGGGACGGUGCACUUCGGCAGGGCUGGGAUCAGCGGAGGUGAAUGAGGCAAGCAUGAGGAUUACACAUCUCUGCUCCCCUUGUAGUCCUGAGAGGCCAUGUGACUAGGUCUGACCAAUGGGUGGUGAACAGCGGUGAUCCUGUUAUUUCUGAGCUGAUGCAUUUGAUUGUGGGUCUAAAGGCCUCCACCAUUCUCUCCUGCACACUGACUGAGGAGGCAGCAUGUCCCAGAUGGUAAAGCUACAGGAUGGUGGCAUCUCUGUCUGCCUGGAUUGCUGAGUCACAACAUGGAGGGCAGCUGCUCUAGAAGUGACCCAGACCUGCAGUGGGUAUUGUAUGCAUGGGGAAUCAACUUUGGUUGUGUCAAGUCAUCAAUGUCUUGAUAUGGCUUGUUCCCAAACCAUUCCCUCACCUAGUCUGACUAAUACUAUUGAAAAGCUGAAAUUUUAAAAAAUCUGAUUAAAAGAAAAAACUAUCAAUACUGAAAGUAAAUUACAAAAAUGAGGAAAAAAAUUGUGCUGUUGUCAAAUGCAGAUUAUACAUGGUUUAAUUUUUGGCACGUAAGGUCUAGCGUUCAGAGGAGCAUCCAAGAAACUUUAUGAGCAUAACAUGCUGAUGGGAAUUUUAUCCAUUUGGCAGAAGUCAGAGCAAAAUUUGAUAAUAUUAUGGCAGAACAUUUAUGCAUGAUAUAAAUAUUGACACCAAAUAAUAUUGCACCUAUUUAGGGAAUGAAAUACAAAACCAAAUAAUUAAAAUUGUAGCAGAUGUAAUGAAUAAAAUCAGUGUGAAUAAGGUAAGAAGAGCUAAAUAUUACUCAUUAUUUUGGCUACAAAUCUUGAUGUUGUUGUAUUUGAGACACAACCCCUGAUGAAUACAGAAUAGAUAACAAUUUCUGUUAGACUUGUAGAUUCCAAAAAUGCAAAUGUUUCUAUAUGUAAACAUGUUUUGGGAUUUUUUUCCGGUGAAUGACACAACUAGAGAAGGAUUAUAAACAAUAUUAGCAGACCACUUACAAAAACAAUCAAGAAUAAAGUAAUUUGUGGGAACACAGAUAUCAUAAUACUGCAAAUAUGCAGAGAAAACAC